CGCUCUUUUGUAAGAUUUCGAAAACCUAAAAAAGAAAUAUAAUGGCUGAUACUGUUGCUCCUGCUGCUGCUCCGGUUGCUGCCUCUCCGGCCAAGGCACCAAAGAAAAUUAAAGCGCCCAAGGGAGACGCCAAGAAACCGAAGAAGCCAUCGACUCACCCACCAGUGAACGAUAUGGUUCUGGCCGCGAUCAAGACUCUCAAGGAACGUAACGGAUCCUCACUGCAGGCCAUCAAGAAGUACAUCGCAGCCAACUACAAAUGCGAUGUCGCCAAGUUGGCUCCGUUUCUAAAGAAGGCCCUGAAAUCGGGUGUCGAGAAAGGAAAGCUGGUCCAGACUAAGGGAACUGGUGCAUCCGGUUCAUUCAAGGUUAAGGCCGAUGCAAAGAAACCGGCUGGCGAAAAGAAGGCCACGAAACCGAAGAAGGAAACCAAGGCCAAGAAACCCGCUGGCGAGAAGAAGAAGGUUGCCAAGAAACCAAAGGCCACCGCUGCCAAGAAAGCUGGUGAGAAGAAGGCCAAGGCAGCUCCUGCUAAAGCCGCUAAGAAGGCUGCUGGAGUAAAAAAGGCUGCUGCUCCCAAACAGAAGGCUACAAAGCCAUCCAAGACCGUGGCCAAGAAACCAAAGACUCCCAAGCCAAAGAAGGCUGCUCCGGCCAAAAAAGCUGCCCCAAAGAAAGCGGCUGCCAAGAAGUAAGUGUCCAACGGAAUAACCAAAAUUUGGUUCAAAACAAUCAGUCCUUUUCAGGACUACCAACAAUGUACAUGAAGUGUCAACGGAAGAUACAACUUAUUCCUUAAAAACAAGCUAGCUGCCCACACAAACAGAGCAUUCUCUCUGUGAUCGAAUAUGUUUACCAAUCUAGAAGACCUGUACCAAACGUCACCACAAAAGACUACAUUAUCUAAAACAAAGUUCUAGUAUAAUAUUGAACAAUCUUAUAAGAUCCAUCAACGACAAACUGGUAUACAAAACGUAAUCGAAGCGCAAAUCAUUAAUUUUGGUUAGGUUCAGAGAUGCUUGCCGAUUAAUGUCUACGAUAAUGUAAUGUUCAGGAAAAGGAUCCUUUACAUUUAAUAAGAAGUUGUAAACUGUCAUGUCUCAUAUUUGUCCCAAAUUUGGAUUAGAUGAAACGUACGUAAUUCCAAUCACUGGUUUAAAUUAAGCUAAUCUAAGAAAUAAUGACAGAAUAACCUAUGUAAG